rfam:Monodelphis domestica chromosome 2, whole genome shotgun sequence.
CAAAAGGCUCUUUUCAGAGCCACCCCACAAUCUCAAAAAAGAUGCUG